UUACGGGAGGCAGCAGUGGGGAAUAUUGCACAAUGGGCGAAAGCCUGAUGCAGCGACGCCGCGUGAGCGAAGAAGGCCUUCGGGUCGUAAAGCUCUGUCCUAUGGGACGAUAAUGACGGUACCAUAGGAGGAAGCCCCGGCUAACUACGUGCCAGCAGCCGCGGUAAUACGUAGGGGGCAAGCGUUGUCCGGAAUGACUGGGCGUAAAGGGUACGUAGGCGGUUAUGUAAGUCAGGUGUGAAAGGCUAGGGCUCAACCCUAGUAAGCACUUGAAACUGCGUAACUUGAGUCGAGGAGAGGAAAGUGGAAUUCCUGGUGUAGCGGUGAAAUGCGUAGAUAUCAGGAGGAAUACCAGUGGCGAAGGCGACUUUCUGGCCUUGGACUGACGCUGAGGUACGAAAGCGUGGGGAGCAAACAGGCUUAGAUACCCUGGUAGA
rnacentral:rRNA from 1 species